AUUGAACGCUGGCGGCAGGCCUAACACAUGCAAGUCGAGCGGUUGACGGGAGCUUGCUCCCUGAUUCAGCGGCGGACGGGUGAGUAAUGCGUAGGAAGCUGCCCGAUAGAGGGGGAUACCAGUUGGAAACGACUGUUAAUACCGCAUAAUGUCUACGGACCAAAGUGUGGGACCUUCGGGCCACAUGCUAUCGGAUGCGCCUACGUGGGAUUAGCUAGUUGGUGAGGUAAUGGCUCACCAAGGCGACGAUCUCUAGCUGGUUUGAGAGGAUGAUCAGCCACACUGGAACUGAGACACGGUCCAGACUCCUACGGGAGGCAGCAGUGGGGAAUAUUGGACAAUGGGCGCAAGCCUGAUCCAGCCAUGCCGCGUGUGUGAAGAAGGCCUUCGGGUUGUAAAGCACUUUCAGCGAGGAGGAAGGGUGGUGUGUUAAUAGCACAUCAUUUUGACGUUACUCGCAGAAGAAGCACCGGCUAACUCUGUGCCAGCAGCCGCGGUAACAC
rnacentral:rRNA from 1 species